rnacentral:rRNA from 1 species
AGCGAACGCUGGCGGCAGGCUUAACACAUGCAAGUCGAGCGGGCAUAGCAAUAUGUCAGCGGCAGACGGGUGAGUAACGCGUGGGAACGUACCUUUUGGUUCGGAACAACACAGGGAAACUUGUGCUAAUACCGGAUAAGCCCUUACGGGGAAAGAUUUAUCGCCGAAAGAUCGGCCCGCGUCUGAUUAGCUAGUUGGUGAGGUAAUGGCUCACCAAGGCGACGAUCAGUAGCUGGUCUGAGAGGAUGAUCAGCCACAUUGGGACUGAGACACGGGCCCAAACUCCUACGGGAGGCAGCAGUGGGGAAUAUUGGACAAUGGGCGCAAGCCUGAUCCAGCCAUGCCGCGUGAGUGAUGAAGGCCCUAGGGUUGUAAAGCUCUUUUGUGCGGGAAGAUAAUGACGGUACCGCAAGAAUAAGCCCCGGCUAACUUCGUGCCAGCAGCCGC